AAGAUUCAAGAUUCGAUCUUGAGUAAAGAUUUCACAUAGAGUUCAGUUCGUGAAGUUGUGUACAAGUAAAGAUCCAGAAAAUAAGAAUUUAAUUUUCAACAUUUAUUUUUGGACUAGUGAUUGUACGAAUUCUUGUAAUGUUGUUGCAAAUAAUAGUGGAAGACCAACAAAUUUUCAAUGGGCAACCAUUGGAGAGUGUAUUAAGCACAAAGCGAGAAGAACGUGCCAAACCACUAUAAAUCCUGGUGUAC
rnacentral:lncRNA from 1 species